rnacentral:lncRNA from 1 species
CAAAUGUCCAAUUUAAUCCACAAUAUAAAAAUGUUUUGUAAAUCCUUCACAAGUCAAAUAUCAUCAUCCAACAUGAUCCUCUGUAUAAAAAUGCAAGUACUGAUUCUGCAAACUAUAAUUACUUCGAUUGUUUCCGUAAUUAUUGUAAGCAUGGUAAACUCCUACAUCAUGUACAUGGUCCUACAAUCUCAUUAUACUGUUAAA